GAAAAUUUACUAUUAUUUUCUGAGAGAAUAAACUUGAGAAUUAUCAUUAACGGUUUUCUAGACAGUAAGUACUGUUCCUAAAAAGGGUUUAUUUCCCUAUUAAAAUCAAAGAUAUUCUGAUCAUAGCGUAAUACUCUAUCCAAGGUGAGGAGAAAGACUAUUGCACCUGCAAUCUAUCAGCUCACACAAGAUAAUAUGAUUACAUUAACAAAGCGCUUUUCAAAUAAUCUUUGGUAAUUAAAUGUGUAGACUGUUAUAAAACAUGUAUCAUAUUGAAGACUUAACCCAAAUAAAUUUAAUAUAGUUCAGCAUUUUGAUGCAAGGUAUACAAAUUGAGAAUUCUGGUCCUUUUUUGACUUCCUCAAAUCCUGGACUCUACAUUAAAAGUUAAUAAUGCUGUUAUAGCAAAGAGAAUGUGUCUGGCUAGCCUGAGAGUAUGUCUGGAAGAAAUUCAACUUGUCUCAGUGGUUUGAGAUGGGAGGAUUUUAUUUGUGGAAGAUAAGAAGUGUGGGUGAUAGUAUGUUGAAGGGGAACACAUUUUUUGGGCAAGGUGGAAAACUUCAGUUGGCAUGCUUGUACAUCUUUUUUUUAAAAAAUGUAUAGCUCAAACUUUGACUAGUAGCUUAAUAAACUGAAAUGAAAGGCUGCCUCUAUGGAUUGAGGCAUAAUCCAGACACAGCUUUAAGAAUAUUAUAAUUUCAGUAGUUAUUUAUUAGAUUUUUAUAAGGGGAGGGGGAUUUUUAUCUAUUAGAGGUUUAAUAGGUCAGUACAGUUCUCUCAAAAACAUUUACUCACAGAACAGUUGCAUUCAGAAACAUUUUAAAAUGUUUCUCUUAACUCAUUAGUAGACAUUAUCUAAAGGCAUUCUGCAUUAGCACAUAUUUCAGAUUCUGAAGGCACGAAACGACAGAGAUAGCUAAUUUACACUGAAAAGCUCCAAAAAGGCCAGAAAACAAAGGUAUGUGUUGACAGUUUUGUUAUGGUCUGACAACAAAGAAAAAUAAUUUUAUAUUAUCCUGUAUCAAAACAUUUUAUAGCAAGCACUAGCUGAAAAUAUAUGCUUUAGAGUUUGAUGCUGUAAAUAGCAACAUUUGGGCUUCCCUUUAUCUGUACAAUAGAUGCAGUAAAAUAAAUAGCUGCAGUUUAGCGCUAUAAAUAUAUACAUUUAAGAUGUGGAUGGGUAUGUAUAUUUAUUAUAGGAGAUGCUGGUAGCAAUCCCCAUAUUUAGGUUACCUAACACUUUCCAUUAUAAUAUAUGCAAUCUAGUUACAGCGCACGGAGAGAGAUUGAAAAGAUGCAGCGAUAAGGGGAAAUGAUACUGAGUGGGAUUUAAGUGUCAGUUUUAGGCUAACAGAAACAAUGAUUUCAAGGUUAGUUCUGAUGAAAGGAAGCAGUUCAGGAGUAAGUUCCCAAAUAAACAGAAAAGUGUGUGUUUAAAAGCAAUAACUAACUAUAAAGAGAUGCAGGCGAGAGAUAAAAUGCCAAAUUUUUAGGAACAGUGUGAACAAGUGGGAAAAUGAGUAGGAAUAGGUUUAAUAUGAGAGACUAGGGAACCCAGGGAAAAUUCUGAAAGUCGGAAGAUUAAAUCAGAGAGUUGAUUGCAAGGAUGAAUGAAACAAUCUUCCUGGAGCAAGACAGUCUGGCUUUGUUAUUCUGACCCUCUGAAGUUAAGAAAUCAAAGAAUUUAGGAAAGACUGUAAUUUGUUGUAACAGAAAUAACUGAAGUGUAAAUAUGAAUUUCAGAACUGCAGAUUAAAGUUCAGACAUCCUGGAAGAAAGAGAAAAAAAAAAAGAAGAGGAGAAUUAAGGACACUACUAAAGACAGUAGUUGGAAGAACAAAUGGAAAGUUAUAAAGACUCCAUCAGAAAUGACAGCAGCAAAUAGAAAGCUCAAGACCAACAAAAGGUCAAAUGUGAGAGAGACUAUCUUAAAAACAGGACAGAGACUCAACAUGAGGAACACAACCAAAACAUCAUGUACGGCAGGAAGUUGCAACAAGAUGCCUGACUUUGCAAUUUAUACACUCCUCUGCAACUUCAAAAUGCUGCAUCUAAUGUCUCGUUACAGAAUUAAACUGAGAUAAUAUUAAAUGUACAUGACGACGUAAUCUGGAGCAUGAAACAACUGACAACUUUCAACUGUGUACCUUUUAUCAUUCCUGAAGGUGGUUGAAUGAUGAAAUUCUCAUUGCUCUUUCACCAAUAUAUGCUGAAAAUAUAAAGAAGAAACCUUUUCAUUCACUGACUGGGAUACUCCAGUUAAU